GUUUGAUGUGACAUGGACGUGUGUGACAUCACCAUGGAUGUGUAUGAUGUGACUAUGGAUUUGUGUGAUGUCACCAUGGACAUGCAUGAUGUCACUAUGGACACGUAUGAUAUCGCAUGGAAUUCUGUGAUGUGACCAUGGGCACGUUUGAUGUGACAUAGACGUGUGCGAUGUGACCAUGGACAUGUGUGAUGUCACCAUGGGCACCUCUCAGCUUGUUCCCAGCUGCCUUCCCUCCCUCCAUCCCCAUGGAAUUAUCACUGGCAGAAGUUCCCACAGGUGGGAUGGUGCCCAGUGCUCAGCCCAGCCCCUACUGGGCAGCACCAGAUGCCUUCCAGAGAAUUCCAGGUUGGGUUUCAAUACACAAAUCCAACCCAGAGUGGUCUCCCCAGCUGGAAUUCCUCAUGGAAUAGCCAUAGGCACCACAGAGCAGAGCAGAGACCCCCACAGCCAUCACCAGGCAACAUCACCAUGUCCCACCUCCCACCAAUGCCUCCCAGAGACCUUCAUGUGUGGGGUCCUGCCUGCCACAGAUGCUCCAGGAGCUUCCAAGGAAGGGCUUCCCAUGGGGUCACAGCCCCCCACACAGAGCCUUAAAGAGGAACUGGCUGGUUUAAAGCAGCCUCCUGUUCCUGUGCUGGGAGGUUUCCGGAGCCAAGCCUCAGGCUCGGAGCUGACUGAUGGGAAUUUGGACACAGAGAAUCCUUUCCUGCCUGGAGGAAGCAGAAGAGUUAAACUCACUCAAGGCACCAUAAUUUUUCCAAGAAGAAAACUGUUCUUCCCACACAGGGUCAGUUCUUUUUUGAAACCAGCCUCCCUUUUAUCCCCAAGAAAAAUCUGCUCGUAAUUAUAAAGCAGGGAAAGGAGAGGUUUCUGGAAAUAUUCAUUUGCAGCUGAGCCAUUUUCACCCUGGCACAGGCGGAGCGAGCCUUCCUCGCUCCCAUCUGUCGCGUUCGCGGCGGCGCCGAUGCCAGCCAGGCUCUGCCACCCAGCGUGGCACACUCGGCAGGG
rnacentral:lncRNA from 1 species